CAGUGAGAUGAAUACAAGUUUACAACUUCCAUUCAGAAAAUGGAGAAUUUAUACGGCAUGUUUUGUGUUGGAUAUUCAAUGAAGAUGGAGACCUCCUGCACAAUAAGAGCGUGUUAAAUUACUAGUAUCGUUAUUGAUAAUAGCAGCAAACCGAGGGUUGCCUCUGAAUAAUCACUUUAUUUACCUUCUCAAUGGAGCCGGCCCUUGCCUCAGUAACAAUCCGAUACAGGUGUUGCACCUGAUCGUGUCAAUUUCCAUGUGUCACCUGUAGUUACGUGUACACGUGUCAAAGGAAAAACAAUUGCAACAUUUGGCAAAGUUUUUUUUUCUGUUUCCUUUUUUUUUUUUAUAAUUCCCAGGCCUGGCUUAAUGAUACGCACUCAACUCACUUGUUGAAUCAUGAAUGAUGAUGAACGGAAGAAAAAGAGGAAACUGGGGACAUUGAUUCGUGUUGUUCGGCGAUUUAUCAGCAGAUCAAGGAAAGAUUUAGCUGUGUCCUGUUACUCUGUGCCUUCAGAAGAGGAUGGUUGGAUGUACAGCCGGAUUACUAGAACGUGGGUGUGGAUGGGAUAGCCGUUCAGGUGUAUAUCAUCCAGGUUAUUUUCAUAUUUUGGGAGGACAUUUCUAGAUUUUUACUACAUCUUUACUUACCAGUCAUGCUGAUAACCCCAGUUCUGUUCGUUCUUGCUCCUCUCUUUCUGUCGCUGUAAGGAACAUACAUCUCUGAAACCAGAGUGUCUGGAAUCAUCAUCUGAGGGGCAGUACAUCAGUCUACAACCAGAGAACAUUUGGUGGCCCUGCCCUUUUCGGAUUGAACCAUUUCAAUUCCCUAAAAGAAACAAGAAACUUGUGUUGACUAGUCCGGAUCUCGGCAGUACAUACUAAUAUACCUAUUAGGACAUGUUGUGUAAAUGUAAAUGUUAAUGUACAUGCUUCAAUGUGUUUAUAUUACUGAAGAUUUGUUCAUACUUUGCUCAAUAUUUUAUUAAAUAUGUUUACAAACAACAA